ACCGCCAUGAACACACCUACUUGGAAGCUAAGCAGGGUUGGCCUAGUUAGUACUUGGAUCGGAAAAGUCACCUGAGGAAAAACUGGCC
rnacentral:rRNA from 1 species